CAUUACAGUCUACAUGCUUUUUGGUGCUAUUUCCUGGUCUAAAAGUGCCCUUAGUUGUUUUAUGUUCAAAAAUCUCUGUAGCUUCCCAACUGCACUGCAUACAAAGUCUCAGUAAAAUGAAAAACUGUGUACUUUGUUUGUGAUUAGUUGCUUAAACUCCACUCCCUGUAGUAAUGGAAGAAAAAAAACAUUCAAUGUAAGGUUUAUGAUUUGUGAACUGACUUGUCCAGUUCUGACACACCUGUUGACCAACUGCCUUCCCUUUCUUUCAACCACGCCUUUUAAACCAUUUUUUGAUAGUACAGCUGCACUGAAGCUGGAUAUUUGGGUGACAGAGACAGACAUACAGUGCUGCGUUCAACAUCAGAUGAAUGCAUUCACACAGGGUGAGAAGAAAUAAAUCCUCAAACAAGGCUCUCAGUUAUUGUUUUCAACAGAGAGGGGAAUA